rnacentral:rRNA from 1 species
GACGAACGCUGGCGGCGUGCUUAACACAUGCAAGUCGAACGGAAAGGCCCUGCUUGCAGGGUACUCGAGUGGCGAACGGGUGAGUAACACGUGGGUGAUCUGCCCUUCACUUCGGGAUAAGCCUGGUAAACUGGGUCUAAUACCGGAUAGGAGCCAUUUUUAGUGUGAUGGUUGGAAAGUUUUUUCGGUGUAGGAUGAGCUCGCGGCCUAUCAGCUUGUUGGUGGGGUAAUGGCCUACCAAGGCGGCGACGGGUAGCCGGCCUGAGAGGGUGGACGGCCACAUUGGGACUGAGAUACGGCCCAGACUCCUACGGGAGGCAGCAGUGGGGAAUAUUGCACAAUGGGCGCAAGCCUGAUGCAGCGACGCCGCGUGGGGGAUGACGGCCUUCGGGUUGUAAACUCCGUUCGCUAGGGACGAAGCUUUUUGUGACGGUACCUAGAGAAGAAGCACCGGCUAACUACGUG